GACUCCACUCAGGCCUUCUGACUCCAAGUCCAGUGCUAUUUCGAGGUAACACACAGGACCUGGAGUCAGGAGCCCUGGGUGGCUCUGUCACCCG
rnacentral:miRNA from 1 species